GACGAACGCUGGCGGCGUGCUUAACACAUGCAAGUCGAACGGAAAGGCCCUGCUUUUGUGGGGUGCUCGAGUGGCGAACGGGUGAGUAACACGUGAGUAACCUGCCCUUGACUUUGGGAUAACUUCAGGAAACUGGGGCUAAUACCGGAUAGGAGCUCCUGCUGCUUGGUGGGGGUUGGAAGGUUUCGGCGGUUGGGGUUGGACUCGCGGCUUAUCAGCUUGUGGGUGGGGUAGUGGCUUACCAAGGCUUUGACGGGUAGCCGGCCUGAGAGGGUGACCGGCCACAUUGGGACUGAGAUACGGCCCAGACUCCUACGGGAGGCAGCAGUGGGGAAUAUUGCACAAUGGGCGGAAGCCUGAUGCAGCAACGCCGCGUGCGGGAUGACGGCCUUCGGGUUGUAAACCGCUUUCGCCUGUGACGAAGCGUGAGUGACGGUAAUGGGUAAAGAAGCACCGGCUAACUACGUG
rnacentral:rRNA from 1 species